UUUUUUUUGCAGGCUUCUGUUCAUCAGAAACCUGUUAGAAGUAUUUUAGCUCCGAAAUUGUCGGGGUUCUUUCGUCAUGGCCAUAAUUCUCUGAGAAUGAACUGGGUUCUGAUAUUUAGGUUUUCAUCGUUUCCUGUUUCAGGGUUUGACAACUUGGUGUUUUAGCUCUGGCCUUCUGUCCAUUGUGUCUUCCAUGUUUUUGUAGUCAUGUUUGGAACCUGAUGGAUUGGUCUGUUUUCUCCAAAGGGUGGAUACACAGAGUCAAAAAGUUCUGGGUGCUGUUGGCAGUUCGAGAGAUAGUGCCUUGUGGUCGUGGGCUUUGGCCAUGGCAGCAGGUUAUAGAGUCUGCCAUGACAACCUUUCUACUUCAAGGAGGGGUUGUUUUUUUUCCUCUUCUAAUCCAAAGCCCUUGUUUUACAGGCUUCAUUUC
rnacentral:misc_RNA from 1 species